GGCGCCGUGGCUUAGGUGGUUAAAGCACCUGUUUUGUAUACAAGAGAUUGCGAGUUCGAAUCUCGCCGGUGCCU